rnacentral:rRNA from 1 species
AGUGAACGCUGGCGGUAGGCCUAACACAUGCCAGUCGAACGGCAGCACAGUAAGAGCUUGCUCUUACGGGUGGCGAGUGGCGGACGGGUGAGGAAUACAUCGGAAUCUACUUUUUCGUGGGGGAUAACGUAGGGAAACUUACGCUAAUACCGCAUACGACCUACGGGUGAAAGCAGGGGAUCUUCGGACCUUGCGCGAUUGAAUGAGCCGAUGUCGGAUUAGCUAGUUGGCGGGGUAAAGGCCCACCAAGGCGACGAUCCGUAGCUGGUCUGAGAGGAUGAUCAGCCACACUGGAACCGAGACACGGUCCAGACUCCUACGGGAGGCAGCAGUGGGGAAUAUUGGACAAUGGGCGCAAGCCUGAUCCAGCCAUACCGCGUGGGUGAAGAAGGCCUUCGGGUUGUAAAGCCCUUUUGUUGGGAAAGAAAAGCAGCAGGUUAAUACCCCGCUGUUCUGACGGUACCCAAAGAAUAAGCACCGGCUAACUUCGUG